GCAUUUACAUAAUUUUUUAAAGUAAAUAUUGUUGGUUUAAGAUGUUUAUAGUUAUAUGAUUUCUUUAUAAGCUGAAACAUCUGUGCCUGAGCCAUCACCAUACUGCAUUCAGAAGUAAUCAAAACUAGUUCCAGUGCAUUGAAGAAAGGAUUUCUGAAUCAAUGGAAAUUAAGAAUGGCUGCUAUGUAAAUAUAUUCAGAGCACAGUGGAGUCAAAAGUUUGUUGUGGAUUGAGAGAGUUGAAGUUUGAAGAUGGGAAAAAAUGCAGGAAUUUAGGAAGGUGCGGUGCAACACUGAUGUAAGAAUUUCCUGGGGAUUCACCAUGAAAGCAUUUUAUUCUCUGCGGAAACAUUACAGCCCUGUGAGUAAUGCCAUGGAACCAAAAGCUUGUUUAAUUGGCAGUGGAAAGAAGCCAUUUAACAGGUACCAAAGCAAGUCUUUCAGGUAUAAUAUGAAACCAAGUGAAAUAACUAACAUCUUUGAAUAGGAUGAUAUUUCCCAGUGUGUUAGUAUUUUUAUUUUUCCCUUUAGUCUUUCUUUUUAAACACCUGAAUCUAAUUUAUAUCAUUCAGAUUAAAACACGCAAAGCUUGAGUGGAA
rnacentral:lncRNA from 1 species